GGCUUCGUGCCGGAGUGGUCUAACGGGCUCGACUCAAGUUCGAGUAGUGCAAACUGCGCGGGUUCGAUCCCCGUCGAAGCCA
rnacentral:tRNA from 1 species